AGACCCGAAACCCGGUGAUCUAGCCAUGGGCAGGUUGAAGGUUGGGUAACACUAACUGGAGGACCGAACCGACUAAUGUUGAAAAAUUAGCGGAUGACCUGUGGCUGGGGGUGAAAGGCCAAUCAAACCGGGAGAUAGCUGGUUCUCCCCGAAAGCUAUUUAGGUAGCGCCUCGUGAAUUCAUCUCCGGGGGUAGAGCACUGUUUCGGCUAGGGGGCCAUCCCGGCUUACCAACCCGAUGCAAACUGCGAAUACCGGAGAAUGUUAUCACGGGAGACACACGGCGGGUGCUAACGUCCGUCGUGAAGAGGGAAACAACCCAGACCGCCAGCUAAGGUCCCAAAGUCAUGGUUAAGUGGGAAACGAUGUGGGAAGGCCCAGACAGCCAGGAUGUUGGCUUAGAAGCAGCCAUCAUUUAAAGAAAGCGUAAUAGCUCACUGGUCGAGUCGGCCUGCGCGGAAGAUGUAACGGGGCUAAACCAUGCACCGAAGCUGCGGCAGCGAACGUAUCACUUAAAGCGAUUCAGCGGGUUACGAUUGACGGAGCGAAGCGACGUCAAAGCGUAUACAAAGUCGAGUCGGUUUAAGGAUACGUUCGUUGGGUAGGGGAGCGUUCUGUAAGCCUGUGAAGGUGGCCUGUGAGGGUUGCUGGAGGUAUCAGAAGUGCGAAUGCUGACAUAAGUAACGAUAAAGCGGGUGAAAAGCCCGCUCGCCGGAAGACCAAGGGUUCCUGUCCAACGUUAAUCGGGGCAGGGUGAGUCGACCCCUAAGGCGAGGCCGAAAGGCGUAGUCGAUGGGAAACGGGUUAAUAUUCCCGUACUUGGUGUUACUGCGAAGGGGGGACGGAGAAGGCUAUGUUGGCCGGGCGACGGUUGUCCCGGUUUAAGCGUGUAGGCUGGUUUUCCAGGCAAAUCCGGAAAAUCAAGGCUGAGGCGUGAUGACGAGGCACUACGGUGCUGAAGCAACAAAUGCCCUGCUUCCAGGAAAAGCCUCUAAGCAUCAGGUAACAUCAAAUCGUACCCCAAACCGACACAGGUGGUCAGGUAGAGAAUACCAAGGCGCUUGAGAGAACUCGGGUGAAGGAACUAGGCAAAAUGGUGCCGUAACUUCGGGAGAAGGCACGCUGACACGUAGGUGAAGUGAUUUACUCAUGGAGCUGAAGUCAGUCGAAGAUACCAGCUGGCUGCAACUGUUUAUUAAAAACACAGCACUGUGCAAACACGAAAGUGGACGUAUACGGUGUGACGCCUGCCCGGUGCCGGAAGGUUAAUUGAUGGGGUCAGCGCAAGCGAAGCUCCUGAUCGAAGCCCCGGUAAACGGCGGCCGUAACUAUAACGGUCCUAAGGUAGCGAAAUUCCUUGUCGGGUAAGUUCCGACCUGCACGAAUGGCGUAAUGAUGGCCAGGCUGUCUCCACCCGAGACUCAGUGAAAUUGAACUCGCUGUGAAGAUGCAGUGUACCCGCGGCAAGACGGAAAGACCCCGUGAACCUUUACUAUAGCUUGACACUGAACAUUGAGCCUUGAUGUGUAG
rnacentral:rRNA from 1 species